rnacentral:rRNA from 1 species
GCUCAAAUUUGAAAUCUGGCACCUUCGGUGUCCGAGUUGUAAUUUGAAGAUUGUAACCUUGGGGUUGGCUCUUGUCUAUGUUUCUUGGAACAGGACGUCACAGAGGGUGAGAAUCCCGUGCGAUGAGAUGCCCAAUCCUAUGUAAGGUGCUUUCGAAGAGUCGAGUUGUUUGGGAAUGCAGCUCUAAGUGGGUGGUAAAUUCCAUCUAAAGCUAAAUAUUGGCGAGAGACCGAUAGCGAACAAGUACAGUGAUGGAAAGAUGAAAAGAACUUUGAAAAGAGAGUGAAAAAGUACGUGAAAUUGUUGAAAGGGAAGGGUUUGAGAUCAGACUCGAUAUUUUGUGAGCCUUGCCUUCGUGGCGGGGUGACCCGCAGCUUAUCGGGCCAGCAUCGGUUUGGGCGGUAGGAUAAUGGCGUAGGAAUGUGACUUUGCUUCGGUGAAGUGUUAUAGCCUGCGUUGAUGCUGCCUGCCUAGACCGAGGACUGCGAUUUUAUCAAGGAUGCUGGCAUAAUGAUCCCAAACCGC